UGGCUUUAGGCAUGUAUCUUGCAACUAGCA
rnacentral:piRNA from 1 species